rnacentral:lncRNA from 1 species
CCGGCUGUGGUAAUUGAGUGGAGCUACUAGAGCUGCAAGCAUCUUAGGGCCAUGACUUGGAUAAAGCUUCAACUUGCUCAGUCACCAAUCUAAUGGGAGAAGUAACAAUGCUGUUCCAAUCAAACCUUGAUUUUCCAGCAAAAUAAAGAUACCAGCCACAGUAAGCCACGAGCUUUAUGAAAUAAAUUUUGAUGUUGAAGCAGAGAGUGCUGCAUAUCCUCAAUGGAUUCCAACACACGCACCUUCAUGGCCAACGACCUCCAGAACAAAAUGCCAGGUAUAUAUAGCAAGAGAGCAAUGACAUAAUAUGUGAUCCAAAUCCUC